rnacentral:rRNA from 1 species
GAUGAACGCUGGCGGCGUGCCUAAUACAUGCCAGUCGAGCGAACGGACGAGGAGCUUGCUUCUCUGAUGUUAGCGGCGGACGGGUGAGUAACACGUGGAUAACCUACCUAUAAGACUGGGAUAACUUCGGGAAACCGGAGCUAAUACCGGAUAAUAUUUUGAACCGCAUGGUUCAAAAGUGAAAGACGGUCUUGCUGUCACUUAUAGAUGGAUCCGCGCCGCAUUAGCUAGUUGGUAAGGUAACGGCUUACCAAGGCAACGAUGCGUAGCCGACCUGAGAGGGUGAUCGGCCACACUGGAACUGAGACACGGUCCAGACUCCUACGGGAGGCAGCAGUAGGGAAUCUUCCGCAAUGGGCGAAAGCCUGACGGAGCAACGCCGCGUGAGUGAUGAAGGUCUUCGGAUCGUAAAACUCUGUUAUUAGGGAAGAACAUAUGUGUAAGUAACUAUGCACGUCUUGACGGUACCUAAUCAGAAAGCCACGGCUAACUACGUG